AAUAUUAAACGACACUUUGACGCACUGGACAGCUUCGCAUGGAGAAAGUAAAUGAGCGAGGAGUGUGCAAUAUUUAUUGUGUACUAUUAUCCUAACUGUUGUUUUAAUGAUGUGUGAGUUGACAUUUUGUAACUUUGCAAAAAAACAAACAAACACAUUAUGAGAGUUUUUCAGUGCCGGAUGAAGGCUAUCAGUUUACAAUAUAAUUCAAUAUAUGGGGGCAAAAAUAAAAUGCCCUGUAAGAAAUUUAGUUUUUAAUAUUUAUGUUGUGAUAGUUAAAGGAAUAGUUCACCCAAAAAUGAAA